UACGAAGGGGGCUAGCGUUGUUCGGAAUUACUGGGCGUAAAGGGCGCGUAGGCGGUGUGUCAAGUCAGGCGUGAAAGCCCCGGGCUCAACCUGGGAACCGCGCUUGAGACUGGCACGCUAGAGUUCGGGAGAGGAUGGUGGAAUUCCCAGUGUAGAGGUGAAAUUCGUAGAUAUUGGGAAGAACACCGAUGGCGAAGGCAGCCAUCUGGACCGACACUGACGCUGAGGCGGCGAAAGCGUGGGGAGCAAACAG
rnacentral:rRNA from 1 species